CGGCGUGUAGCGCAGCCUGGUAGCGCACUUGCAUGGGGUGCAAGGAGUCGCGAGUUCGAAUCCCGCCACGCCGACCA
rnacentral:tRNA from 1 species